rnacentral:rRNA from 1 species
UAGCAGCCGCGGUAAUACGGAGGGGGUUAGCGUUGUUCGGAAUUACUGGGCGUAAAGCGCACGUAGGCGGAUUGGAAAGUUGGGGGUGAAAUCCCAGGGCUCAACCCUGGAACGGCCUCCAAAACUCCCAGUCUAGAGUUCGAGAGAGGUGAGUGGAAUUCCGAGUGUAGAGGUGAAAUUCGUAGAUAUUCGGAGGAACACCAGUGGCGAAGGCGGCUCACUGGCUCGAUACUGACGCUGAGGUGCGAAAGUGUGGGGAGCAAACAGGAUUAGAUACCCUGGUAGUCCACACCGUAAACGAUGAAUGCCAGUCGUCGGCAAGCAUGCUUGUCGGUGACACACCUAACGGAUUAAGCAUUCCGCCUGGGGAGUACGGUCGCAAGAUUAAAACUCAAAGGAAUUGACGGGG